UUCCCCUUCUAUUCUCCAUACAAAUUUGAAUUUGAUCGUUGGAAAAUCGAACAUUCGAACUCAACGGUCGUCGAAGACGGUUGUCCUCACUUUGAGCUAUUUUUCGUGAUCAUGUCGUGAUAUUUUUUCAUUUUUUCUAUUUUAAUCAUGGAUUUUUGCAGUAAAUUUUGGAACAAAGAAAUUAAUCGAUUCAAGAUUAUCGUUGUUAAAACAUAUUGCGGUCUAAGAUCAAAAAUUGGCCCCGAAAUCGAUGAAGAUCGUUUGGUUCGGUCAUCAUGUAAUCAUGACUCAAGUUGGCGAACAAAUCCAAUUUUCGGUGACUAUCAAAUUUUUCUUUUUCAGAGUCCAUUAUACUUGAUGUAUGACAAUGUAUGGAAUUCGGAUUAAUAUGUGAAAACAUGGUCAAUGAGCAUAAAAUUUUCAUUGAUGAUCAAUGAUCAUUAGAAUCAUAUAAUUGGUGCCUUCUUUAUAAAAACGAUCAUGGUAAUGAUGCCGAACAGUACAAAUUUGUUGGUGGAUAUCUGGUCGCUAACAUGGUACAAUGUCCAAUGAAAAACAUCAUGUUCAUCAUCAGUCUAUUCAGAACAUGCCUGCUUUUGAUUGAAUUGUCGGAACAACUUAUCCGGUUCGUUCCUGAAAUUUUACAAUCAUCAAAUUGAAAUUCGAUUGAUGAUUAUGUUCGAGAUCAAUUCGGCGGUUCCAUUGUUCAUCAGCAUCCAAUUCAAGAAUAGUUUGACCAUGUUCAACACAUGAUAUCAGGUUAGG